rnacentral:rRNA from 1 species
UGGGGAAUAUUGCACAAUGGGCGCAAGCCUGAUGCAGCCAUGCCGCGUGUGUGAAGAAGGCCUUCGGGUUGUAAAGCACUUUCAGCGAGGAGGAAGGUGGUGAGCUUAAUACGCUCAUCAAUUGACGUUACUCGCAGAAGAAGCACCGGCUAACUCCGUGCCAGCAGCCGCGGUAAUACGGAGGGUGCAAGCGUUAAUCGGAAUUACUGGGCGUAAAGCGCACGCAGGCGGUUUGUUAAGUCAGAUGUGAAAUCCCCGGGCUCAACCUGGGAACUGCAUUUGAAACUGGCAAGCUAGAGUCUCGUAGAGGGGGGUAGAAUUCCAGGUGUAGCGGUGAAAUGCGUAGAGAUCUGGAGGAAUACCGGUGGCGAAGGCGGCCCCCUGGACGAAGACUGACGCUCAGGUGCGAAAGGCGUGGGGCAGCAAACAGGAUUAGAUACCCUGGUAGUCCACGCUGUAAAACGAUGUCGAUUUUGGAGGUUGUGCCCUUGAGGCGUGGCUUCCGGAGCUAACGCGUUAAAUCGACCGCCUGGGGGAGUACGGCCGCAAGGUUAAAACUCAAAGGAAUUGACGGGGUCAUAGCUGUUUCCU